UGUGAUAAGGUAAGGGAAAAAACUGAUGUUACCUUACUAUUAGUGUUGUCCAAAUCUGGUGCCAGAAGACUCGGUAAGACCAGAAACACAAACGUUAAUCGUCUUUAUCAGGCGUAAAGGGUUUUUAGGCUGCUUUUACUAUUUCUAUUUAAAAUAGCUAUGAUAAAAUCAGUUAAAUAGGNAAAAAAAAAUAAAAGCUAGAAUCAAAUAGAGGAUAAGCCAAAUAAUACUUAGAGUAGGGAUGAUAUCCAUAGAUACUAAGUGGAAUACUAAAGGUGAAAGCUUUUAUCUACUAAUGAUUGACGCUGAGAAACGAAGGUGAGAAUAGGAAAUAGGAUUAGAUACCCAGAUACCUCUCACUGUCAACGAUGAAUGGUGGUUUUUAGUUUUAAUAAAAACUGAUAACGAUGCUAACGCGAUAACCAUUCCGCCUUGCGAGUACGGUU
rnacentral:rRNA from 1 species